rnacentral:rRNA from 1 species
AUUGAACGCUGGCGGAAUGCUUUACACAUGCAAGUCGAGCGGCAGCGCGGGGCAACCUGGCGGCGAGCGGCGAACGGGUGAGUAAUGCAUCGGAACGUACCCCGUCGUGGGGAAUAACUACCCGAAAGGGUAGCUAAUACCGCAUACGACCUGAGGGUGAAAGCGGGGGACCGAAAGGCCUCGCGCGAUGGGAGCGGCCGAUGCCGGAUUAGCUAGUUGGUAGGGUAAAGGCCUACCAAGGCGACGAUCCGUAGCUGGUCUGAGAGGACGACCAGCCACACUGGAACUGAGACACGGUCCAGACUCCUACGGGAGGCAGCAGUGGGGAAUUUUGGACAAUGGGCGAAAGCCUGAUCCAGCCAUUCCGCGUGAGUGAAGAAGGCCUCGGUUG